GACGAACCCGUGCGAACGUUGUUCGGAUUCACUGGGCUUAAAGGGCGCGUAGGCGGGCAAGUAAGUCUAGGGUGAAAUCCUUCGGCUCAACCGGAAAAGUGCCUUAGAUACUGCUUGUCUAGAGGGAGAUAGGGGUUGCUGGAACUUCCGGUGGAGCGGUGAAAUGCGUUGAUAUCGGAAGGAACGCCGGUGGCGAAAGCGAGCAACUGGAUCUCUUCUGACGCUGAGGCGCGAAAGCUAGGGGAGCAAACGGGA
rnacentral:rRNA from 1 species